rnacentral:rRNA from 1 species
UACGUAGGGUGCGAGCGUUGUCCGGAAUUAUUGGGCGUAAAGAGCUCGUAGGCGGCUUGUUGCGUCGGAUGUGAAAGCCCGGGGCUUAACUCCGGGUCUGCAUUCGAUACGGGCAGGCUAGAGUUCGGUAGGGGAGAUCGGAAUUCCUGGUGUAGCGGUGAAAUGCGCAGAUAUCAGGAGGAACACCGGUGGCGAAGGCGGGUCUCUGGGCAGUAACUGACGCUGAGGAGCGAAAGCGUGGGGAGCGAACAGG